rnacentral:rRNA from 1 species
UACGGAGGGUGCGAGCGUUGUCCGGAAUCACUGGGCGUAAAGGGCGCGUAGGCGGCGCGGAUAGUCGGCGGUGAAAGCCCGGAGCUCAACUCCGGGUCGGCCGUCGAUACUUCCGGGCUUGAGCACUGUAGAGGCAGAUGGAAUUCCGGGUGUAGCGGUGGAAUGCGUAGAGAUCCGGAAGAACACCGGUGGCGAAGGCGGUCUGCGUGGGCAGUU